CAGAGAUUCAAGAGACUUGCGUUGGUCUGGAACCCUUGCGCGUGCUUCUCUCCCCCUUCACUAACAGAAAUGAGUGUCGCCUGUCUUUCUGAUGGUUGGUUCGACCUUUCAGUUUGGUGGGAAGCAGCGAGAUCAGUGAAACCAUCCAAAAUGGAGAGACCAGCUACCAGAUCCUAUGGGGUACUCUAAAAGCAGCGCUGCAAAGGAAGUUCGUAGUAACACAGGCCCACAGAAACAAAAACAAAACAAGGAGCUUCCCUCUGACAGCUACAGUGAAACAAACAGGGGACAACAAUAAGAGCAACGGUGGGAAAGGUCUGACCGCCUGUGGCUCCUACUCACUAAAACCGUAGCUGCUGAGAAAACAGAGAAGGAUAAAAGUACAGGGUCACUGGCACACAUAAGAGAUGAAAUUAAAAUCUAACAAUUGGGAAAACAGAGACAUAUUGAACAGGCAGACAGC